ACAACUUUCAACAACGGAUCUCUUGGCUCUCGCACCGAUGAAGAACGCAGCGAAAUGCGAUAAGUAAUGUGAAUUGCAGAAUUCAGUGAAUCAUCGAAUCUUUGAAUGCACCUUGCACCCUUUGGUAUUCCAAGGGGUACACCCGUUUGAGUGUCAUUG
rnacentral:rRNA from 1 species